GUACACUCCUGCGGGAGGCAGCAGUGGGGAAUAUUGGACAAUGGGCGCAAGCCUGAUCCAGCCAUGCCGCGUGAGUGAUGAAGGCCCUAGGGUUGUAAAGCUCUUUCACCGGUGAAGAUAAUGACGGUAACCGGAGAAGAAGCCCCGGCUAACUUCGUGCCAGCAGCCGCGGUAAUACGAAGGGGGCUAGCGUUGUUCGGAUUUACUGGGCGUAAAGCGCACGUAGGCGGACUAUUAAGUCAGGGGUGAAAUCCCGGGGCUCAACCCCGGAACUGCCUUUGAUACUGGUAGUCUUGAGUUCGAGAGAGGUGAGUGGAAUUCCGAGUGUAGAGGUGAAAUUCGUAGAUAUUCGGAGGAACACCAGUGGCGAAGGCGGCUCACUGGCUCGAUACUGACGCUGAGGUGCGAAAGCGUGGGGAGCAAACAGGAUUAGAUACCCCAGUAGUCCC
rnacentral:rRNA from 1 species